AUUGAACGCUGGCGGCAUGCCUUACACAUGCAAGUCGAACGGUAGCGGGCCUUCGGGUGCCGACGAGUGGCGAACGGGUGAGUAAUGUAUCGGAACGUACCUUUCAGUGGGGGAUAACGUAGCGAAAGUUACGCUAAUACCGCAUAUUCUGUGCGCAGGAAAGCAGGGGAUCGCAAGACCUUGCGCUGAUUGAGCGGCCGAUAUCAGAUUAGCUAGUUGGUGAGGUAAAGGCUCACCAAGGCGACGAUCUGUAGCGGGUCUGAGAGGAUGAUCCGCCACACUGGAACUGAGACACGGUCCAGACUCCUACGGGAGGCAGCAGUGGGGAAUUUUGGACAAUGGGGGUAACCCUGAUCCAGCCAUGCCGCGUGAGUGAAGAAGGCCUUCGGGUUGUAAAGCUCUUUCGGCCGGGAAGAAAUCGUAUCAGCUAAUACCUGGUGCGGAUGACGGUACCGGCAUAAGAAGCACCGGCUAACUACGUGCCAGCAGCCGCCGUAACAC
rnacentral:rRNA from 1 species